rnacentral:rRNA from 1 species
ACGAAGGUCCCGAGCGUUAUUCGGAAUCACUGGGCGUAAAGAGUACGUAGGCGGUUUGGUAAGUCAGGUGUGAAAUCCCGGAGCUCAACUCCGGAACUGCAUCCGAUACUGCUAGACUUGAGUAAUGGAGGGGCAGGUGGAAUUCUCGGUGUAGCAGUGAAAUGCGUGGAUAUCGAGAGGAAGACCAAUGGCGAAGGCAGCCUGCUGGACAUUUACUGACGCUGAGGUACGAAGGCCAGGGUAGCGAAAGGG